GGGGGCGAUCUGGCUUCGACCGGGCAGGGUUCGGGCAGGGGUGGCGUGCCGAGGUUCCAGGUGGCCUCGUAAAACCCUGGGCAAACUAUAGUUGCCAAUAACAACUAUGCACUGGCUGCUUAAUUAGUGGCCACGUUCCGGCCGUCUACGCCUGCGGGACGGUCGGAACGACCAACUAGCGGGCUAGCGAUCAACCUCGGUCCGUCGGGUCGAUUGCGAAAUUUUAGACGGGCUGGCUGAAGCGGGAUCCUGUCGGCCGGAGCCCGCCGAGGCGAGAACCAAACGACCGACUAUGUACGUAGAAGCCUCUGGUCGACUGCUUCGGGACGCGGGUUCGAUUCCCGCCGCCUCCAUCC
rnacentral:tmRNA from 1 species